rnacentral:rRNA from 1 species
GACGAACGCUGGCGGCGUGCCUAAUACAUGCAAGUCGAGCGAAGUUUUUCUGGUGCUUGCACUAGAAAAACUUAGCGGCGCACGGGUGAGUAACACGUAAAGAACCUGCCUCAUAGACUGGGACAACUAUUGGAAACGAUAGCUAAUACCGGAUAACAGUAUUUCUCGCAUGAGAGAUAUUUAAAAGUUGGUUAUGCUAACACUAUGAGAUGGCUUUGCGGUGCAUUAGCUAGUUGGUGGGGUAAAGGCCCACCAAGGCGACGAUGCAUAGCCGACCUGAGAGGGUGAUCGGCCACACCGGGACUGAGACACGGCCCAGACUCCUACGGGAGGCAGCAGUAGGGAAUCUUCCGCAAUGGGCGAAAGCCUGACGGAGCAACGCCGCGUGAGUGAAGAAGGAUUUCGGUUCGUAAAGCUCUGUUGUUAGGGAAGAAUGGAUAUGUAGUAACUAUACAUGUAAGAGACGGUACCUAACCAGAAAGCCACGGCUAACUACGUG